GACGAACGCUGGCGGCGUGCCUAAUACAUGCAAGUAGAACGCUGAAGAGAGGAGCUUGCUCUUCUUGGAUGAGUUGCGAACGGGUGAGUAACGCGUAGGUAACCUGCCUUGUAGCGGGGGAUAACUAUUGGAAACGAUAGCUAAUACCGCAUAACAAUGGAUGACACAUGUCAUUUAUUUGAAAGGGGCAAUUGCUCCACUACAAGAUGGACCUGCGUUGUAUUAGCUAGUAGGUGAGGUAAUGGCUCACCUAGGCGACGAUACAUAGCCGACCUGAGAGGGUGAUCGGCCACACUGGGACUGAGACACGGCCCAGACUCCUACGGGAGGCAGCAGUAGGGAAUCUUCGGCAAUGGGGGCAACCCUGACCGAGCAACGCCGCGUGAGUGAAGAAGGUUUUCGGAUCGUAAAGUUCGGUUGUAAGUCAAGAACGGGUGUGAGAGUGGAAAGUUCACACUGUGACGGUAGCUGACCAGAAAGGGACGGCUAACUACGUG
rnacentral:rRNA from 1 species